CGAUUUUCUUUGACAGCAUCUCUGGGUCUUUAAUGUCCCUUCCCAUCCAAGCCAUUCCACAAUUCUACAUUUCCGUGUCGUAAAUGUGAAAAUGUCAGCCAUGGUCUCCUGCUGCUCAGAUGACUAUGAAUCUUCACCCACGGUGACAAUGUCCCUAGCAAGUCCAGGGGGAGCCUGGCCCUUGUGGCAGAACAGAUCUGCCCAACAGGACGUGUUCCCUGUGGUUCUGUCCCAGCAGCCCGGCACUCACCCGCUAACGGGUGUCAUGAGCACCCACUCUAUGCAGCCCUGCUGCACAGAAGGAGCAGCCCUGGGGAGCCACAGCCAGCAUCCUGGGGACGUGAGGUCACAAUACCCCACCUUGUGCAAUGAGGUCACAGUGCCCCACCUUGUGCAGUGAGGUCACAAUGCUCAGCGUGUGCCCCAGGCAUUCUGUGCUGGCCCCAGCAGCAGCACUCACUGUGGCUGCAGCGGUGGUGGAGGCAGUAUGGCACGAGUGUGGGGGGCCAUGGCCCCUGCCCGCCUUGCUCUCCUCCUCUUACUGAUGGCCAUUUGUUCCCAGGAGACUUGUGCUGCUCUGUGGCGAGCACCAGGAGCAGAUGAUGACAAUGGUGCUCCUUAUCCAGAUGAUUGGAUGGAAACUGCUUUUGUGCCUCAGGGGAAACCCAGGGGUAAGUUGUGAGUGUCUGUUUCCUUGAAGGCAGAAAAAUUAGGGCAGUAAUAGUUUAUUUGGGUACUUAAGAACCUCCAAAGGUCUUUCAAGUGUCUUUGUGCCUUGAAAGCUGUACACAGAGCAGUCCUAAGUAUUUCUUGGAGAGCUGUCACAUUUCAGUGGUAAGGAAGAGGGAACCUAUACCUUUGCUGUUUGGGCCAUGUCAUUCCCUGACCUCACAGGUCACUGCAGAAAAAGCAGGCCCCAAUGUGCAGUGGAAGCUCUCCUCACCUGUGUUUGAUCACACUUAUGCCUGCAGGCCCUCUUGGUCAAUUACCAAAGCGGAGUCCUGUCCUUGAGCCUGUGGUAGAUGCUAGAGGUGUGAGUGGAGUUGAAUGGGAUCCAGCUUCCCAGCUGAGCUCCAGGACCAAAGCCCCAGCAACUCGUAUGGGUUCUGAGAGAUGGAGAAAGACACGGGAAGGAGGAAAAUAUCCCCAGACACUGUCCCAUAUGCUAAUGAAAAUCAUGAAGGACAAGGCAGCACGUGGUGGGUGUAUUUCUGUCUGUUCCCUGAAAGACUCGGGAAGUUGAGUUUCUAGAAAUAUUCAUGGGGAAACGGGAAAGGAUGAAUCAGAGUCCUGCUGUGACUUCUGUGUCUGAAGGCUUGCAGCUUUUUGCUGCUUUCUUUGAAGGAAGGAAUUUUGCAACAUCUUGCAACUUGCCAAAAAUCACACAAGGAGCACUGUGAACAGGAAGCUUGCCUGCAACCUGCUGAUCUCCCAGCAGGACAGGUCUUGCUGUCUAUGCUUGCAACCUGGAAAGUGUGUAGCACUUAGUUUGUCCCACAUAGUGGCACGCAGUUUGGACUAGAAAUGAGGAGCAUCGCAAAAAGCCCAGGCUUUGUUCCUAAACUUUACUGAUGAGUCUAGAGAACUGGUGCCUCCUGAAGUUACCAUCUUCCUGAUGAGAAGCAGUUACUUACAGUCCCACUCUCUUAACUCCUUUCUAAAGAGACAGACGGAGAGCCAGUGCACAGGGAUGCAUUUCAGCAAGGCAGCCAUCGCACACCGCCCAUCCUUCCAGGAGAAACAGAGGCCACACACACAACUGGCGCUCCAGGUAAAGGCUGCUCAUAGAGCUCUGUGGCUGUGGCUAGAGGUUACUCCUCUCCCACUGCCCCCAG